UACAGAGGGUGCGAGCGUUAAUCGGAAUUACUGGGCGUAAAGGGCGCGUAGGCGGCCUUGUCAGUCAGGCGUGAAAGCCCCGGGCUCAACCUGGGAACGGCGCUUGGGACGGCGAGGCUGGAGUUCGGGAGAGGAGAGUGGAAUUCCCGGUGUAGCAGUGAAAUGCGUAGAUAUCGGGAGGAAUACCGAUGGCGAAGGCAGGUCUCUGGGCUGACACUGACGCUCAUGCACGAAAGCGUGGGGAGCAAACAGG
rnacentral:rRNA from 1 species